rnacentral:lncRNA from 1 species
UCUCUUUGUUCUUACAGGCUUCAUCUGCCCCCGGGGAAGAACACAGAUCCUACUGCUGUGGAGUUGGGGGUGAGGACAGCAGCCUGUUUCUCUUACAGAGACAUCCAUGUUCUAUGAGCAGAGUUUUAGGCAAAGAUCAGAAUACUCAUCAGCUCAAAAACCAAGAGGAAAUCUUGAGGAUCCUUAACUAUGGUAUGCCUUGGACACAUCCUGGAGAUCCAUGUCAUGGCUCCAACCCUUAGCAGCUGUUUGAUUCCACGAGCCUGUUUUCCUGUCGGGAAGGGGCAUCUGAAGGCAGGGCUCCUGUCCUGGGACGGACGCAUCAUCGUUUCCAGCUCUGUCCCAGAUGCAAGAACCUGGAUGCCAAAUCCAUCCUCUCUGGGUGAAGUGGGAAUGUGUGAGGACGACAGGUCUAAGUCCAAAUUAAAUAAAAA